GAUCACUUUGUUUCCGUUGCCUCUUUCUGCGGUGCUGCAGACACACAUUGAGGGGAGGAUUGGAUUUGAGGAGAUACUGACGGGGUUGCACAGCUGCAACAGUCCCCUCCGUCCCCACACCCUCUCUCUCUCUCUCUCUCUCUCUCUCUCUCUCUCUCUCUCUCUGUCUCUCUCUCUCUCUCUUUCCGCCUGUGUGUGUGACUCUCGCUCUGUCGCACUCGCUGCCGAUAGAAGGGGUGGGGGUGCCAUAUGGGUGCUUAGAAAAAUGGAAGUGGAUCUGAGAAAGACGAGAGAGGAAUCUGUUCAUUGUUGAGCUCGGAUGUCGGGAUCUAUGUGAGAGGCAAAAUGAAAAAUGUACCCCAGGCAGCGAAUGCCAAUGAACAAGACACUUCCAUGAAGGGUCAUGACCACAAAUUCCUUGUGUGCCCUCAAGUGCAUCCACGCAGCUCGUAGACGGGUGGACACUUGAUUAAUCACAAGUGAUUUGAGAGAUUUUCACUGCGCUCAGAGGUAAGACAAAUCACCACUUGCAUUUGUAAUGCAAAAAGAAAACCUUACUUUUGAAUAUUUUUUCAGUGUGAUCCAUUUGGGGACAGACAAUAGAAGAGGGUAGAGUUUGGGUGUAUGCUGGCCUCGUUUUGUUUUUGCGCACUUGCACUUGCACUAGACUAGUGAGUCAGUACAAGUGUCGGACUGCUGUAACAGACGGCGUGCGUAGGACAAUUAGCCCGGAGUCAUCUGGAAGCGGCGCAGCUCGGCCCAGGUGCCCACUGUGCACAGAAAGAGACCAGAUGACCUUUUACACAGCUCCAUCCCACUGCAGUCACUUAAAACAGUGAUGGAUGUUUCCCUUCACACGCCCCUCCCUUCCCUCCCUCUCUCUCCUCUUACCAUUUUCCCCUCUUUUCCUCUUCUCUGCUCCGCUCCAACACCACUCUCGCCUUAUUUGUGCCCGCUCCACUCCUUGUUGUUCUACCGUCCUUUCAUAGCCUCCCAUUCUCUCUGUUCUUCCAGAGCGAUGAGGAGGAAGAGGCAGCCCCUCAUUAGAAUGCAGCGGCUGUUGCUCAGGUGGCAUGGCCGCUGGAUUCGGUCCUGAAUGCAGGAAGAUCAGCAGAAUGGCCGAGAGCAGGAUAGCAGGUAAGGACAAUGAGAACAGGAGGGAGAAAAGGAGGAGAGGCAAGGAAUAGACAUGACACCCAUGCACACUUACACACAUUUCUGUAAGGUAUGAACAGAUAUGUUCAGGUUCAAGUCCAGCCUCCCAGAGCCAAACAGUCAGGAAGAGUAUCACUAUGGGCUGAGAUGUGCUAGUUGAGUUAUUGUAGUAAUAACGUGGCUUUUGCAGUUUUUGUCUGUGUUAAUAAAAUGUUAUAUAAAACGUAUUUUACUUGUCUCCAAAAUGCAUACAUUUAAUUUUUCACCUGCAUUUUAUGUCUCAAUAGAAAAUGUAAUCAUUGUAGAUUUUACAGUUUCUACUUUUCAUCAUGUAAAUAUUGAUUCCAAUAAAUGUCUCUGUUGAAUA